rnacentral:rRNA from 1 species
UACGUAGGUGGCAAGCGUUAUCCGGAAUUAUUGGGCGUAAAGCGCGCGCAGGUGGUUUCUUAAGUCUGAUGUGAAAGCCCACGGCUCAACCGUGGAGGGUCAUUGGAAACUGGGAGACUUGAGUGCAGAAGAGGAAAGUGGAAUUCCAUGUGUAGCGGUGAAAUGCGUAGAGAUAUGGAGGAACACCAGUGGCGAAGGCGACUUUCUGGUCUGUAACUGACACUGAGGCGCGAAAGCGUGGGGGGCAAACAGG